ACUUCGUAUAAGAGGCCAAGAAAGCAGUCCGUUCCCGCCAGUGGAACUCUGCUGUUGAACAAACCGUUACUCAAUCCACGAUGAAGCUAUUGGUUGCCGUUGUGUUACUGUUGGUACUCGGAGGGGCGAUGUCGUCUUCGUGGAACUGCUAUAACUGCUCCCCUAGGGAUUGUAAAUGCGACAAUUGGUGUCCUCCAGGCUAUGAUAAAAACAACCCAGACGCCAAUUAUAGAAAGAACCUAUACUGCCUAACUUCUUGCAGUUGCAAACCAGGCAGCGAGAGAAAAAAAAUGCUAGCGAUUGAGCCCAAGCCAUAAAUGUAAUCGAAUAACACUGACCAAUUGACCCGGAUGUGACUUUUGUCAGCUGAAUGAAAUCGGUUGUUGGAAUUUGUUCAAAUGAAACCAAUUUUGUGCAUUGGUUUGCAGAAAUAAAUGUCUCUGCAUAAAUCA